GAUGAACGCUGGCGGCGUGCCUAAUACAUGCAAGUCGAGCGAACGGACGAGAAGCUUGCUUCUCUGAUGUUAGCGGCGGACGGGUGAGUCACACGUGGAUAACCUACCUAUAAGACUGGGAUAAUAUCGGGAAACCGGAGCUAAUACCGGAUAAUAUUUUGCACUGCAUGGUUCAAAAGUGAAAUUCGGUCUUGCUGUCACUUAUAGAUUGAUCCGCGUUGCAUCAGCUAGUUGGUAAGGUAACGGCUUACCAAGGCAACGAGGCAUAGCCGACCUGAGAGGGUGGUCGGACAGACUGUAAGUGAGGCAGGGCCCAGACACCGACGGUGGGACGCAGUCGAGAAUCUUACGCGAUGGAGGAGAGCCGGACAGAGCACCGCCGCGGGAGUGCUGAAGGUCCUCGGAUGGGAAAGCGCUGUAGUUAGGAAAGAACAUAAGUGUAAGUAACUGUGAACAUCAUGACGGUACCUAAUGAGAAAGCCACGGCUAACUACGUG
rnacentral:rRNA from 1 species